GUUGACCUCGAAUCAGGUA
rnacentral:rRNA from 1 species